rnacentral:rRNA from 1 species
GAUGAACGCUGGCGGCGUGCUUAACACAUGCAAGUCGAACGGAAAGGCCCUGCUUUUGUGGGGUGCUCGAGUGGCGAACGGGUGAGUAACACGUGAGUAACCUGCCCUUGACUUUGGGAUAACUUCAGGAAACUGGGGCUAAUACCGGAUAGGAGCUCCUGCUGCAUGGUGGGGGUUGGAAAGUUUCGGCGGUUGGGGAUGGACUCGCGGCUUAUCAGCUUGUUGGUGGGGUAGUGGCUUACCAAGGCUUUGACGGGUAGCCGGCCUGAGAGGGUGACCGGCCACAUUGGGACUGAGAUACGGCCCAGACUGCAACGGGAGGCAGAAGUGGGGAAUAUGGCACAAUGGGCGGACGCCUGAGGCAGAAGCGCCGGGUGCGGGAUGACGGCCUGCGGGUUGUAAACCGCUUUCGCCGGUGACGAAGCGUGCGUGACGGUAAUGGGUAAAGAAGCACCGGCUAACUACGUG